UACGGAGGGUGCGAGCGUUGUCCGGAAUCACUGGGCGUAAAGGGCGCGUAGGCGGCGCGGGGAGUCAACGGUGAAAGCUCGGCGCUCAACGCCGAGUCGGCCGUCGAUACUCCCGUGCUCGAGCACUGUAGAGGCAGGUGGAAUUCCGGGUGUAGCGGUGGAAUGCGUAGAGAUCCGGAAGAACACCAGUGGCGAAGGCGGAGCCCGCCUGGGCAGUGGCUGACGCUGAGGCGCGACA
rnacentral:rRNA from 1 species